UGGGGAAUUUUGGACAAUGGGCGCAAGCCUGAUCCAGCCAUGCCGCGUGAGUGAAGAAGGCCUUCGGGUUGUAAAGCUCUUUCGGCGGGGACGAAACGGUUCGUGACAACACCACGGACUAAUGACGGUACCCGCAUAAGAAGCACCGGCUAACUACGUGCCAGCAGCCGCGGUAAUACGUAGGGUGCAGGCGUUAAUCGGAAUUACUGGGCGUAAAGGGUGCGCAGGCGGUUUGUUAAGACAGGUGUGAAAUCCCCGGGCUUAACCUGGGAAUUGCGCUUGUAACUGGCAGGCUAGAGUGUGGCAGAGGGGGGUGGAAUUCCACGUGUAGCAGUGAAAUGCGUAGAUAUGUGGAGGAACACCGAUGGCGAAGGCAGCCCCCUGGGUUAACACUGACGCUCAUGCACGAAAGCGUGGGGAGCAAACAGGAUUAGAUACCCUUGUAGUCCCUGAGCGGGCUGGCAAGGCGCAU
rnacentral:rRNA from 1 species